UACGAAGGGGGCUAGCGUUGCUCGGAAUUACUGGGCGUAAAGCGCACGUAGGCGGCUUUCUAAGUCGGGGGUGAAAUCCUGGAGCUCAACUCCAGAACUGCCUUCGAUACUGGAGAGCUUGAGUCCGGGAGAGGUGAGUGGAACUGCGAGUGUAGAGGUGAAAUCCGUAGAUAUUCGCAAGAACACCAGUGGCGAAGGCGGCUCACUGGCCCGGUACUGACGCUGAGGUGCGAAAGCGUGGGGAGCAAACAGG
rnacentral:rRNA from 1 species